GGCUCAUGUUCCUCGGUUGGAGCUUUCCUCCAGCAGCCCAGAUACUCAAGUGUGUCCUCUUAAGAACUGGAUGGAAAGCAAACAUAUCCCCAGCCCAUGGAAGGGUGCCACCCAUAUUUAAGGGGAAGUCUGUCACACAGCAGGCCGGCAGUAGUAGAACCCAAAAUCCUAGCCAGAAAUGGAUCCUACUAUCCAACAAGCAUCCUUCCAGACCCCAGAGAGCCCCUGUUCUUUAAGGCAUGACUAUGACAGUUGUCCCCUCCUCCCUCACACAAUUCAGAGCUUGACAAAGGCUGCAAGAGUUCCCAGUGGGACAAGAAGAAGUGGUCAGCUCCCUAUAGAUGGGCUCAUGCGGAGGUGACUCCUUGGAUCAUUUGGGAAACAGGCCUUGGGGAAAGAGUAUCCUAGAAGGGCAUUGUCAUGUCUCAAGUUUGACCAUAUGUACAGCUUGGUAGGAGGAUCACAGACAGAAGCUUCCAGCACGGCAGGCGUUCAAUAUGAGACAGGGGGAUGAAAGGGAUACAAGAUGAAAACAGUGGGUGAGCAUAGAUGCACUGCACAGGGGAAGGAUGUUUGAGGAAUAUUGUGGGAUAUUAAUUCUCGGAUCCUGGGGAUUUGAUUCUUUGGUGAGAGCAAGGACGUGCUCCUGAAUCCGUCCCGGGCGCCUAACAAAUGUCAUGGCUCCAUCUGCUUAGUGGCUAGAGGCACAGGAGGUGGCACAGACAGGCUAGAGUGCUUUUUGAUGAUGUUUUCUUCCCUAAUCUCUAUUUCCUCAGGAGUUCUUGCAAGCUGUCAUGUGUGGGCAAGGUCAGGGAAUUUGAUGUCUCUCAAGUGACACUUAUCCUGGGCAAGGCUACUCCCAAGGGCAAGACAUCGUUAGUCCAGUGUCUUGGGGGAUAAUUUACACUUUGCUAGGGGCUGUGAAGAGACAUCAGAGGCAGUAGGUGCUUGGUAUCUAAAGCAAUUCUUCUAACAGUGAAGAGAUUUCUGAAAUCUCUGAUAACUGACAAGUCUAUGUAACAGAUAACCAAUAAGUGUUCUGAAUCCCAAGUUCCUGACAGAAUGCUAGGAGUCCCUUGAACAACAACCUAGGGGUUAGUGGCUUGAGUCACUCCUCCUUCUACUCAAACAACUUGCUAUCAUCUAAACUAAUUUCCUGAAUCCCUAGAAGAAACAUAUGACAACCUCCCCUAUCUAGACUCAGAUAACUUGAGGUUACCAUGACUUUGCCUUAACUCAGCACCAAGCAAAUCUUUGGACAAUCAGAGAUAGCUAACUUCGCCAUGCCUGAUGGGAAAUGAUCUUCUGUGUAUAUGCUUAUCUUAUUAGUUGCUGAUUAAAACACUAUUGACCAAUAGGGCAGCAAGAUAGGUAGGACUAGGAUAUGAGGAGGAUUCUGAAAAGUGUAGUCAGAGAAGAGUCAUCGUCGUAUGAUCACAGGAAGUGACGUAGCUGGGCAGAAAUUGCCACAAGCUAACCAUAGAGUGUCUGUACAGACAGACAGGAAGUGAAAUAGCUGGGCAGAAUCAGU